UAGAUCUAUGUAUCUACUCAUUUGUCAAGUUAGUGUGACAUCAAUAUUUUAUUUUAUUUUAUUUUAUUUUUUUAAUUUUUUUUUUAUUUUUUAUUUAUGAUAGGCACACAGUGAGAGAGAGAGAGAGAGAGGCAGAGACACAGGCAGAGGGAGAAGCAGGCUCCAUGCACCAGGAGCCCGACGUGGGAUUCGAUCCCGGGUCUCCAGGAUCACGCCCUGGGCCAAAGGCAGGCGCCAAACCGCUGCGCCACCCAGGGAUCCCGACAUCAAUAUUUUAAAGAAAUUGUUAUCAGACAUCAAAGACUGCUUACAGGAGAGUGUCUCCAUCUGCAUCUGGGGCCCGUGUGUUCCUUUCCAACGUAACACCGCACCGCACCCCCCGAGUUCCAGAGGCACAAACAGAAGACGCUUAGGAAGGAAUCUUCUUGCCCAACCAUCUGCUGUUCAAGUUAACUUCACCGCGAUUUCAACCUGUUUAUACUACUUGAAACAGCUAAUGUGAUCCUGCAGUUUAAAAAGAAGAUCCCAGGGGAUCCCUGGAUGGUGCAGUCCGAGAAGUGUCUGCUUCCCUGCAGGUCAUGACCCCGGGCUCCGGGGCUCCAGCUCGCAGUGGGGCUGCUUCUCCUUCUCCCUCUGCACCCCUUGCUUGUGCUGUCUCUCAAAAAAAAAAAAAAAAAAAAAGUACAAUCUUAAAAUUCUGGGAGAAACUCGGAAUCACAAUUUCAUGCUCUUUAACCUGAGAGAGGGAAAAAAAACCCAAACAACCCAAGAACUGUGUGUACCAAAUAGGCUGUGACAUCAUUUUAUCAUCUAUCAUCUAUCUAUCUAUCUAUCUAUCUAUCUAUCUAUCUAUCUAUCUAAUCAUCUAUCUAUUUUUGUGACAUCAUUUUAAAGGCGAGGAGCGGCUGGGACAGGCGGUGCACACGCUUCAAAUUAGUUUCCCGGCUGCCAGGCUCGCGGGCUCCCCAGUGCUCUCCACCACGACAGCGCCGGUGUCGGAGGCCACCGAGAUCCCAUUUAGCUCUCGCAGUGAUGGCUGGGGUCCAGCAACGUGCUCACGCACCUGAAAACGAGCUAUUGAUUAGGGGCCGGGGACCCAAAGCGGUCUGAGAAGGGUUUCGGCAGCGCGAACCAGAGGCGCUCGCGGGCGCGGGGGUGGCGGGUGGGGAAUACACAUCGAAGCGCGCACGCGCGUCCCGCGGUGCCUCCUUUACCAAGAUGGCGCCGGCUCUGGGGUCGGCGGGGGCGGCCAUCUUGGUAAGGGCAGGAGCGGCCAGCUCGGAAGGUCGCGAGUGAGUGAGUGAGCAGGCCACGUGGAGCGAACUUUGCCUCGGCCUGUGGGUACGGCUCGCGUCAGGGAUGGCGAGGCGGCGGGCAUUGAGGUGGUGCCUGCAGCUGCUGGCGCCCUCGGCGGAGCCGGCGCGUCGGGGCCGGGGGCGGAGGAACCCAGGCGCCGGCCGCCGUGGCCCUUCCCGCUGCGCCGGGGCGCUGUGCCCGGG
rnacentral:lncRNA from 12 species